ensembl:lincRNA
AGGGUAUUCAGGGACAAGAUGAUGACAACGCUGUGGUCUUUAUGUCACAUACACGGUGUUCUUGGGUCUCUUUAGAAAAGGAGAUGACCCCUUUUCUAACAGAAUGGAAAGUCCUGUUGUCCUUUCACAUAUCACCCACAGUCAGCGACAGAGGCUGUCCCCAACGCCAGGCCUUCAGAUCCCUUUCUCAGAAGCUUUAUCUCUCCUGCCAGUUGGGGGACUGUGGCUGGUUUUCUCCAUGAGACCUAUUCUGUAUUAAACAGGAAAGCACAAACAAGCACCAAUACCACUGCCCAGAACAGAGAAAAUUAUUUGAAUGCUUCCUGUUACAAUAGUGGCCACCACAGAGGAGUAAUCUUCAGUUUAUGAAAACUUUUUUCUGAGUCCAAGAGUGUGGCAAUCUGUGAGGUUUUCAUCCUGACUUUGUCUUUCCACCCUUUGCAUAUCAUCCUGGGACGGUAGGGACAUGUACUUCUGUUGUUUCCCAAUCUCACCACCAAGGGGCGCUCGCGAUGAAACAGUUCUGUCCUGGGAUGUACCACUGAAGUGUAGCGGUGGGACCACCCACUCUGGAAGGUACCAUUACGAGAGUGAGUGUGAAAAAACAGAGGGUGCUCUGACACUGCGUCGGGCAUCGACCACAGUUCCCAGCGGAGGCACUCAUAGCGCCAGUGGGUCCAACGGCAUUCGCUCCACUUCGUCUUCCCACUGCAUUUGAAUUAGAGUGGACACCGAUAUUAAGCUGCAACUUUGUCUCUUUUCCAACUCCACCCCUUCGUUUCUACAUGGUCUCAACGAACGUGGGGAUGGGUACAGAGCGACAGAUUGGCUGCAGCUUCGAGGGUACGGCGACCGGGAGAUUGCCUGAAUUAGCUCUUCCGGGGCGCGAGUACACGCGGAAGUCCGGCUACUCCCGCCCUCCUUCGUCUCCUGCUCAGUUCCCAUUGGCUGCCUGUCUUAGACAGGCACUGAGGUCGCGGAGCUGGAACUCUGGGCGAGAGGCGUGUGUAUACCAGUGCGCCUGCGUUCGCUUUCGCGGCUUUUCAGAGUGUGCACUUUUUCUCCGAGUUUUACCGCUUUUCCCGAAGGGGGUGAAUCGCUGCCUUGAUGUCCGAUUGGGCCUGUCCCUCAAAGGCUGAAUUUAUCAUCCGUUGAUUUUCACUGGUUUCAGGAUCAAAAGGGGUGAAAACCCAGAAGGCCUCACACAGCCUUUCGUAGAAAUCGGCCAGGCUUUCAUCUGGAUCAUGUAGCACCUUAGUGGUCUUAGCCAUGUUAGCAGGCUUCUUAGCCCUGCCUUUUACACUUUGUAGGAGAGAGGGCCUGUGGAUAUCUCUCCAACUGGUUUCUCCCCGCCUCUGCAUUGAGGUGCCAGCAAGUCUCUUCCUCUGGGAAGUUCUCCCAAGCCCAGUUCUCCACAUCUAAUUGGCCGCCUGGAGCAUUGGUCUUGAGCCAUUUUCUAGCCUUUGUCAUGACUCAUCCCCAUUCCUCUGUAUUGAAUAGGGUGAGGAGAUGCUGCAGGCAGUCUCCCCAGGUGGGGCGGUGGGUCUGGAAGAUGGAUUCUAAGAGACCAAUCACCGCUUGGGGCUUUUCAGAGUAUGAGGGGGUGUGCUGUUUCCAGUUAAGGAGAUCAGUCAUGGAAAAAGGCUGGUAGUCAAAAAUGGAUCAACAGAGCAGAAACUGUGAGCUUGUGUAUGUCUCUUGAUCUAAUUGUAGAUUUGUGGAACCACUGUCCGGAGAUGUCACUGGCCAUCCUUUCCUCGUUCCUGUUUUAGACAGGGGCGCCACAGAGAUACUCUGACCAGGCUCCCCGAGCCUAUGGAUGCCUCGUGCCUCCUCUUCUUGUUGCUCCAAGUCUCAUGUUCUGUCACCUUCCUCUCUGCGUCUGAUGUGAGCCAGGCACAUGCACACACACAGAAAGACACGCAAACACAGGCGACAUAAGCAUACCUGUGUAAACACACACAAGGAAGGCACAGAGACACAAACAGGGAACACAGGUGUUCCGGUAGCUGAGGACGCCUGUGUCCAGCAAUAUAGGAGACUGGCGCUGUGUCCUGCCCUUUUGGGAUCCCUGUCCAUUUCUUCCCCAAGCUGUUCAGUAUUAUCACCAGCCAGCCUUAAGUCGUCUCUGACUUUGUGGUGGUGAUGAGAGGCCAGUCAGUGGAUGUGGAAAUUCACAGAAGACCCCAAAGUCAGCACAAAAGUACCAAGCGACAGUGGAGAGAAACCCAUUCCAACUGGUGGUGCUUUCCAGGAGGAAGGUCUGGACUUAAGGGCCCAGGGGAAUCUCAAACUCAGUGAGCAGCAGGAGGCCUGGGGGUGGCUUAACCUGGGGAAUGAUGCUUCUGACUAAGGUGCUAGAUUCACCCUGCCUCUAUCAGAAUCACCUAGGAUUCUCAUCUUGUAAUCACAGCUUCUUUGAGUGAGGCCUGGACACAUGAAGUCCCCAAGCCUCCAGUCUCAGCCUGUCACUUGCUACCAGUAUGACCUGAAUCCAAGCUCCACAUCCAACCUGCAUGAGCCUAAGCAUUCCCAUUUGGAAAAGGAGAGUGUCCCAGCCUCUAUGUGGCUGUCCCUUUAAAGCCCAACUUUGAUUCCCUCACAACCUGUGUUUCUGUCAGUAACCUCUCAUUGCAGGAUCUACCUCCUUGGGAAGUACUGCAGGAGGUCGAGUCACAGGACUUUGCUGAUUAUCUGCUGGAGACAUGAACAAGGUCAGCAUGGGGCUCACCAGGACCUGAACCCUUCGUGAACAGCGAAAAAUUCCAACACAAAUCGCCAAUUCUGCGAAGGCUUAGAGCAACCCCAUCUCAGCAAUCCUGUGUGAUCCUGGGCUAUUGUGAUCCAAUAACCAGCUGAGGAAUUUAAAGCUGCUGGUUUCCAGCCUGCAGCUUGGAGCUCCCCAUUUAUAAACCCAGAAGCAGUGGGCUGGAGUGGAAUGACAGGGCAUAUACCCUGGAGGAAACAGGCGAGGCAGGGAAGGAUCGCACAGGAGGAGCAUCCACUCCCUUCCCCACCCACCCACACCACCCUGGGAGACAGGUUGUAUCAGUGAUAUUAAGGUAGUACUCCUUAACGAUCAGUGUGUUCCUAAAGUAGGGUUUAUUCCAAAAAGCAACUUAGCAGCGUGCAGCGGGACCAGGGAUGCCUCAGUUCCUGCACCUGCCAAGUUUCUGGAGUCCGUAGUUUGCCUGCAGGGCAGGCAUCAACAGCUUCUGCUUCUCCACUCCAAGUGCUCACACCACAUAAGAUGAUCCCCCACUUCCCUCCCCAGCCCCCCUACCCACCUGUCCUCAUUCUCCCUCACUGACCUUCAAAUCAAUCAUGUAGCUAAGUAAGACUUCAUCUUGUUCACUGAUCAUGACGUAUAGUUGGCGGUUGUUCACAAUCCACUGCAGGUCAAGGAUCCAGUCAUGCCACAUGCCGGGCCAGGUAGAUCCAGAAGCAACAGGGCUAGUCUGGGAAGAAACAAGUGAGAGGGUAAGAGGCAGGGAGGCUAGGGGCCCCGAAUGGAGGAAAUAGGCUGCAAGUGUCAGACAUUUUUCUCUCUCUCUUAAGGAGCAGGAGGAAACAAACUACAAGUGUCAGAUUUUUUCUGUAUAGAAAAUUAAAAGGUUUCUUUUAAAAUUCUGUGUUGCCAUGAUGACACCUGUUUCCACCUGAACUUAACUUUUCUCAAACCUUGAGCUAACCUCUAUUUUUCUUAUGGAAAUGUUUUUCUUAAGCUAUGUUAAUGAACUGUGUAUUUACACUUGACUCUGUCUUCAUGUUUGUUCCACCUAAGGCUCAGAAGGGUGAAUGCCUCAACAAACCAGUAUGUUUUACUCAUACAAUUUUUCUCCUAAUCUGUGUUAAUAAAACUAUGCAUUUGCUUGGAAACCUGCCUUUCUUCAAGAUUCAUGUCAAUUGUUUUAUGGCCCAGGAUGACUCACCUUGUGCCAGUGUUAUCUCAAGAUACAUGUUGUGGGUGAGGGGCCUGGUGCCACUCUCUGUGUAUUGAGACAUUUCCUUUGUCUAAUUAGCAGCCUGCUAUUCGGUAUAUAACUUCCUGCUAAAGACUAGCAGGGGGCACUCUUUCUGCCCUCUUCUGAUAUCUAUGUCAGAAUCUUACUCUAUCUCUUUUGUACUUUAAUAAAACUUGAUUACACAAAAGCUCUGAGCAAACAAGCCUUGUCACUGGCCCCGGAUUGAAUUCCUUUCCUCCCCAGGCCAAGAAUCCCAGCGUCUUUCACGGCUGAGCAACA